CCUCAGUAAUGGCGAAUGAAGUAGGAUGAGCUCAUAUGAUAAUCGUGCCCUGCAGGCAUGAGUUGUGGUCUUGGGAGGUACUGCCCGCAGCAGCUCAGAGGUUUGCCUCUUGAAAGAGAGCGCUGGCGAAGGUGAUUGCCCUACGUCCUUUGAUGCCUGCUGCACCCGGCGUACUCUCCACGAGUCACGUUCCUUGGGAGUGGAGCGCUAAGUGGGUGGUAGACUUCAUCUAAAGCUAAAUUGUUGCUCGGGACCGAUAGCACACAAGUACCAUGAGGGAAAGGUGACAAGGACUUUGGAAAGAGAGUGAAAAGUGCCUGAAAUUGCUGGAAGGGAAGCGGAUGAAAUCAGAUGUGCUUGUGAGAUUGUCCGGCAGUCAGGGAGGUUGUUGCCACCUGUUGGUGACAGCACCACCCGCCGUGCAGGAUGUUUCUUGCUGCUUAUGUUGGUGCAUACCCAUCAUUGGCAAUCUUGCUUGGUGUCACGUCAGCAUUCUUUCUAGCUUGCGGGUGCAUCUUGACAAGAAAAAGGUGGGUUGUUCGUGAUCGUGUCCAAAGCUGUGGCUGGAGACACUAUCCAACACAAUGGUUUCUUCCGACCCGUCUUGAAACACGGACCAAGGAGUCUAACAUGUGUGCAAAGCUGCAGGAACAACACCGAGCCGCAACUAACGUGAUCAUUGGGAUAGUUGCACCAAUCAUCAACCAAUCAACUGCGAGAGGUUUGCAUGUGAGCAUACGUGUUAGGACCCGAAAGAUGGUGAACUAUGCCUGAGAAUGGCAAACUCAGGGGAAACUCUGAUGGAGGCUCGUAGCGGUACUGACGUGCAAAUCGUUCGUCUCACUUGGGUAUAGGGGCGAAAGACUAAUCGAACCAUCUAGUAGCUGGUUCCCUCCGAAGUUUCCCUCAGGAUAGCUGGAGCUGAGCAGCUUUGUCAGGUAAAGCAAAUGAUUAGAGGAAUCGGGGGCAUGCCGCCCUCGACCUAUUCUCAAACUUUAAAUAGGCAAGGUCCAGUGGUUGCUUGCGUGAACCUUUGGUGUCAGUGAGAGUUCCAAGUGGGCCAUUUUUGGUAAGCAGAACUGGCGAUGAGGGAUGAACCUAACGUUGGGUUAAGGUGCUUCAAUGCCCGCUCAUCAGAUACCAUGAAGGGUGUUGGUUCAUUUUAACAGCAGGACGGUGGUCAUGGAAGUCGAAAUCCGCUAAGGAGUGUGUAACAACUCACCUGCCGAAUGGACUAGCCCCGAAAAUGGAUGGCGCUCAAACGGGUGACCGAUACCUAACCGCCGGCACAA
rnacentral:rRNA from 1 species